UAAUACGGGGGGUGCAUGCGUUAUUCGGAAUUAUUGGGCGUAAAGGGCGCGUAGGCGGUCCUGUUAGUCAGAUGUGAAAGCCCGGGGCUCAACCCCGGAAGAGCAUUUGAAACGGCAAGACUUGAGUAUGGGAGAGGGAAGUGGAAUUCCUGGUGUAGAGGUGAAAUUCGUAGAUAUCAGGAGGAACAUCUGUGGCGAAGGCGACUUCCUGGACCAAUACUGACGCUAAGGCGCGAAGGCGUGGGUAGCAAACAGGAUUAGAUACCCUGGUAGUCCACGCAGUAAACGGUGAUCACUAGGUGUAGCGGGUAUUGACCCCUGCUGUGCCGGAGUUAACGCAUUAAGUGAUCCGCCUGGGGAGUACGAUCGCAAGAUUA
rnacentral:rRNA from 1 species